rnacentral:rRNA from 1 species
UACGGGGGGGGCAAGCGUUGUUCGGAAUUACUGGGCGUAAAGGGCUCGUAGGUGGCCAACUAAGUCGGACGUGAAAUCCCUCAGCUUAACUGGGGAACUGCGUCCGAUACUGGAUGGCUCGAGUUUGGGAGAGGGAUGCGGAAUUCCAGGUGUAGCGGUGAAAUGCGUAGAUAUCUGGAGGAACACCGGUGGCGAAGGCGGCGUCCUGGACCAACACUGACACUGAUGAGCGAAAGCCAGGGGAGCAAACGGG